rnacentral:rRNA from 1 species
CCUACGGGAGGCAGCAGUAGGGAAUCUUCCACAAUGGGCGAAAGCCUGAUGGAGCAACGCCGCGUGGGUGAAGAAGGUCUUCGGAUCGUACAACCCUGUUGUUAGAGAAGAAAGUGCGUGAGAGUAACUGUUCACGUUUCGACGGUAUCUAACCAGAAAGCCACGGCUAACUACGUGCCAGCCGCCGCGGUAAUACGUAGGUGGCAAGCGUUAUCCGGAUUGAUUGGGCGUAAAGGUAACGCAGGCGGUUUGUUAAGUCUGAUGUGAAAGCCUUCGGCUUAACCGGAGUAGUGCAUUGGAAACUGGGAGACUUGAGUGCAGAAGAGGAGAGUGGAACGCAAGGUGUAGCGGUGAAAUGCGUAGAUAUAUGGAAGAACACCAGUGGCGAAAGCGGCUCUCUGGUCUGUAACUGACGCUGAGGUUCGAAAGCGUGGGUAGCAAACAGGAUUAGAUACCCGUGUAGUC